AUGAAAGCUUGCUCGGCCCCAGGGCAGGAUGGCCUUCCGGUAAUUUUCUUCCAGAAAUUCUGGGAGAUCCUGCGUCCGGUCAUUAUGCCCAUGUUCCAUGAGUUCUAUAUCAAAACUCUUAACAUGGCUAGGAUUAACUAUAGUUUCAUAUCUCUGAUCCCCAAAGUAGUUCGGGCUACGGAUAUUUGGGAAUUCCUCCCCAUCACGGUGAUCAAUGUGUUGGAGGUAAUCUUUGUGAAGGUUUGCGCAAUCCUUUAUCCCCCAGCGGAAAGGAUUGCCCACUCCCUUCAGUCCGCAUUCUUGAAGGGUCGGCAGAUCCAUGACGGGAUUUUGCCCUUCACAAGAUUGUCCACGAGGUGGUGUCGAAGGGGCUUAAGGGGGUCUUCCUCAAAUUGGACUUCCAAAAGGCAUAUGACCACCUGGACUGGUCCUUUUUGA
rnacentral:rRNA from 1 species